rnacentral:rRNA from 1 species
AUUGAACGCUGGCGGCAGGCUUAACACAUGCAAGUCGAGCGGGGGAAGGUAGCUUGCUACCGGACCUAGCGGCGGACGGGUGAGUAAUGCUUAGGAAUCUGCCUAUUAGUGGGGGACAACAUCUCGAAAGGGAUGCUAAUACCGCAUACGGCCUACGGCAGAAAGCAGGGGAUCUUCGGACCUUGCACUAAUAGAUGAGCCUAAGUCGGAUUAGCUAGUUGGUGGGGUAAAGGCCUACCAAGGCGACGAUCUGUAGCGGGUCUGAGAGGAUGAUCCGCCACACUGGGACUGAGACACGGCCCAGACUCCUACGGGAGGCAGCAGUGGGGAAUAUUGGACAAUGGGGGGAACCCUGAUCCAGCCAUGCCGCGUGUGUGAAGAAGGCCUUAUGGUUGUAAAGCACUUUAAGCGAGGAGGAGGCUACUCUAGUUAAUACCUAGGGAUAGUGGACGUUACUCGCAGAAUAAGCACCGGCUAACUCUGUGCCAGCAGCCGCCGUAA